rnacentral:lncRNA from 1 species
UUAUAGGGUUUCUAAACCUUAACUCCUAAUAGGACUCCUACUCAAGACUCCUACUUCUUACCAACUCCUAAUAGGACUUCUACUCAAGACUCCUAUUCCUUUACAACUCCUAAUUUAUCUCUAAGAAACAACCUCCUAACCCUAGCUAGCCUCUUCACCUCUUUAAUAGGGGUCGGCUUAGGUAGGUUUUACAUGAAUGCCCCUCUAAAUUAGGACUUUCCUAGCUAGAGUCCUA